rnacentral:rRNA from 1 species
AUGCCAUUCAGAUUGUGCAACGCGCCAGCCACAUUCCAGUGCCUGAUGAACACAGUCUUCGGCCGUUAUGUCCGUAAGUUCAUCAUCAUUUUCUUGGAUGACAUCUUGGUUUUCAGCUUCGACCUGCAGGAACACGAAGAACACCUGCGCCUCACCUUGGACCUUUUGCGUGAGCACCAGCUAUUCGCCAAGGCCAGCAAGUGUUCGUUCGCGCAAACAAGCAUCGAGUACCUUGGGCACGUGAUCUCACAAGACGGCGUUGCCACAGAUACAAGCAAGACCAGUGCUAUGCAGGCCUGGCCCGUGCCCUCGACACCAACUGAGCUACGUGGAUUCUUGGGAUUGAUAGGCUACUACCGCAAGUUCGUUCCUCACUAUGGCAUCAUCGCCAAGCCUCUGACGCAGCUCCUCUUGAAGAAAGGGUUUGUCUGGAGCGACACGGCACAGCGAGCUUUUGACAUGCUCAAGCAGGCAAUGAUGAGCACGCCGGUCUUGGCUCUCCCCAAGUUCACACGCCCGUUCGCCAUCGAAAGGGAUGCAUGCGACACGGGCGUGGGCGCGGUGCUCACCCAAGAUGGCCACCCUGUCGCCUACCUCAGCAAGGCUCUUGGGGUGCGGAAUCAGAAGCUCUCCACGUAUGAAAAAGAAUUCCUCGCCGUGAUGAUGGCCGUCGACAAGUGGCGACCGUACCUGCAACGUGCCCCGUUCGAGAUCGUCACCGACCACAAAAGUUUGUGCGCACUGGGCGAUCAGCAGCUGGUCACCGAUCUGCAACGCAAGGCUAUGGCAAAGAUGGUGGGCCUCCAAUUCUCCUUCCGUUACAAGAAAGGUGUCGACAACGGCCCCGCCGAUGCACUAUCUCGCGUUGGCCCUGUUGGAGCUCGACGCGCUGUCCAUGUGCCAACCCCAGUGGCUGCAAGAGGUGGCGAACUCCUACGAGACUGA